GCUUAACACAUGCAAGUCGAACGAUGAACCACUUCGGUGGGGAUUAGUGGCGAACGGGUGAGUAACACGUGGGCAAUCUGCCCUGCACUCUGGGACAAGCCCUGGAAACGGGGUCUAAUACCGGAUACUGACCAUCUUGGGCAUCUUUGAUGGUCGAAAGCUCCGGCGGUGCAGGAUGAGCCCGCGGCCUAUCAGCUAGUUGGUGAGGUAAUGGCUCACCAAGGCGACGACGGGUAGCCGGCCUGAGAGGGCGACCGGCCACACUGGGACUGAGACACGGCCCAGACUCCUACGGGAGGCAGCAGUGGGGAAUAUUGCACAAUGGGCGAAAGCCUGAUGCAGCGACGCCGCGUGAGGGAUGACGGCCUUCGGGUUGUAAACCUCUUUCAGCAGGGAAGAAGCGAAAGUGACGGUACCUGCAGAAGAAGCGCCGGCUAACUACGUGCCAGCAGCCGCGGUAAUACGUAGGGCGCAAGCGUUGUCCGGAAUUAUUGGGCGUAAAGAGCUCGUAGGCGGCUUGUCACGUCGGUUGUGAAAGCCCGGGGCUUAACCCCGGGUCUGCAGUCGAUACGGGCAGGCUAGAGUUCGGUAGGGGAGAUCGGAAUUC
rnacentral:rRNA from 1 species